GAUGAACGCUGGCGGCGUGCCUAAUACAUGCAAGUCGAGCGAACGGACGAGAAGCUUGCUUCUCUGAUGUUAGCGGCGGAAGGGUGAGUAACACGUGGAUAACCUACCUAUAAGACUGGGAUACCUUCGGGAAACCGUAGCUAAUACCGGAUAAUAUUUUGAACCGCAUGGUUCAAAAGUGAAAGACGGUCUUGCUGUCACUUAUAGAUGGAUCCGCGCUGCAUUAGCUAGUUGGUAAGGUAACGGCUUACCAAGGCAACGAUGCAUAGCCGACCUGAGAGGGGGAUCGGCCACACUGGAACUGGGCCACGGUCCAGACUCCUACGGGAGGCAGCAGUAGGGAAUCUUACGCAAUAGGCGAAAGCAUGACGGAGCAACGCCGCGUGAGUGAUGAAGGUCUUCGGAGCGUAAAACUCUGUUAUGAGGGAAGAACAUAUGUGUAAGUAACUGUGCACAUCUUGACGGUACCUAAUCAGAAAGCCACGGCUAACUACGUG
rnacentral:rRNA from 1 species